ACAGCUCAAAUUUGAAAUCUGGCCUCUUUGGGGUCCGAGUUGUAAUUUGUAGAGGAUAUCUCGGGUACCGCCUCGGUUUAAACUUCUUGGAACGGAAUGUCAAAGAGGGUGAGAAUCCCGUCUUGGACCGGCGGUAGGUCCCAUGUGAAACUCCUUUGACGAGUCGAGUUGUUUGGGAAUGCAGCUCAAAAUGGGUGGUAAAUUUCAUCUAAAGCUAAAUAUUGACCAGAGACCGAUA
rnacentral:rRNA from 1 species